rnacentral:lncRNA from 1 species
CAUUAAUACAGGCUGCCCUUUCAUACAAACGUUGUCUGUUUAUCCAUGGUCGAAUUUCCAGUAGAAUUUUUUAUAAACCAGUACAGCGACGAAGCGAAAUUUCCGGCCGUCUUUCACAACAAAUAUAAACAUCACAAUAAUGUUCUCUUUUAACUGCAGAAUCGUUUUCCCUGCCCGCUGAGUUAUAAUUUCCAAAACUAACGAGUCGCCAUAACAUAAAAUAAGCGGGUAUUUGUGAACAAAAAUGCCCUUUGAUGACACGAAGUAUAAACCACCGU